AACCCAAAUUAAUAUACUCCGGCGUAAAGAGUGUCAAAGAUAUAUACAUAUAAUAAAGUUAAAAACUAACUAAGCUGUAAAAAGCCACAGCGAAAAAUAAAAUAAACUACGAAAGUGACUUUAACACCUCUGACUACACGACAGCUAAGAUCCAAACUGGGAUUAGAUACCCCACUAUGCUUAGCCAUAAACUAAAAUAAUUUAUCCAACAAAAUUAUUCGCCAGAGUACUACUAGCAAUAGCUUAAAACUCAAAGGACUUGGCGGUGCUUUAUAUCCCUCUAGAGGAGCCUGUUCCAUAAUCGAUAAACCCCGAUAAACCUUACCAUCCCUUGCCAACA
rnacentral:rRNA from 1 species